rnacentral:rRNA from 1 species
UACGUAGGGUGCGAGCGUUAAUCGGAAUUACUGGGCGUAAAGCGUGCGCAGGCGGUUUUGUAAGCCAGAUGUGAAAUCCCCGGGCUUAACCUGGGAAUGGCAUUUGGGACUGCAAGGCUGGAGUUUGGCAGAGGAGACUGGAAUUCCUGGUGUAGCAGUGAAAUGCGUAGAUAUCAGGAGGAACACCGAUGGCGAAGGCAGGUCUCUGGGCUGAAACUGACGCUCAUGCACGAAAGCCAGGGGAGCAAACGGG